rnacentral:rRNA from 1 species
UACGUAGGGUGCGAGCAUUGUCCGGAAUUAUUGGGCGUAAAGAGCGUGUAGGCGGCUUUGCAAGUCCGUUGUGAAAACUCGAGGCUCAACCUCGAGACGCCGGUGGAAACUGCAAAGCUAGAGUCCGGAAGAGGAGAGUGGAAUUCCUGGUGUAGCGGUGAAAUGCGCAGAUAUCGGGAGGAACACCAGUAGCGAAGGCGGCUCGCUGGGCCAUUCCUGACGCUGAGACGCGAAAGCGUGGGGAGCGAACAGG